CCUCGAACUCAGACGCAUGGCUUGCGUCUCGUUCGCGCGCGUACGUAUGGCUGUGGUCCGCUUUUAGUUUUUGGCGAAUGCUUAUAGAAGCUUCAAGUUGCGGACACUGCGGUGGGCCAGGGCUUGAUGACAUUUGUUGCCCAGCUGCUGGUGCUACCGCGACGUACUUGGAGCAACGCUUCUGCUUAUUUCCUCUGCCUGCACCUUAUAUUUGUUGUGUUUAUUGAGACCUGGCCUGUCUCUGCCUCGUUGAAGACAAAUGGACACAAGUACUGGUCGCUGUUGGUUUGUUUGGUUUGCUCAGUCUGAGCGUGGUGCCACACAAUUUUCCACCGGAUAAAAAAAAUCCACGUUGAUACAGUUGUAUAAACAGGCCUGGUGGCCUGACCCCAGUGACCAGAACUGGUAAUGCACUCCCUUACCAGAGCAGGAUUGGCCACAACCUCCUAUAUGAAUAGAACAAUCAAACCCCGGCCCUCGGUCCCCAGCAGCUGCGAAGCAACUGACCACAGCGGCGGUCAGACCUGUGACGCCGCAGAGGGUGCUAAUAAUCUCUGGAUCCGGACAGGCCACCAUUGGAAUCUGAACCUGGCAACGUUUAACGCUAGAACGUUCUCUAGUGAGGCGAGUCUAGCAGUGCUAUUGGAGGAAUUAGCGGGCAUUAAACGGGAUAUAAUAGAGCUCAGUGAGGUUGGGAGGACAAAUGAAGCAUAUACAGCGCUAAAAAGCAGGCACAUCCUGUGCCACCGGGGCUUAGCGGAGAGACGAGAACCAGGAGUUGGAUUCCUGAUUAAUAAGGAUAUAGCUGGUAACAUACAGGAAUUGUAUAGCAUUAACGAGAGGGUAGCAGGUCUUGUUGUAAAACUUAAGAAGAGGUACAAAUUGAAGGCCGUACAUGUCUAGCCGCCUACAUCCAGUGACCAGCAAGUCGAAAGCUUCUAUGAAGACGUGGAAUCGGCGAUGGAUAAAGUCAAAACAAGAUACCUUUCUCCAGCCUGCUUCUUGCCUACCCUGGCAUUGAAGUCGCCCAUCAGUAUAGUAGAGUUUGCAGAAUGGAAUAAUUUGCGGACAAUGAAUACCUUCUUCCGCAAGUGGGAUAACCGAAAGUGGACUUGGAGGAGCCCGAAUGGCGAGACUAGAAAUGAAGUAGACCUCAUACCCUGCGCUAACCCUGGCAUCAUACAAGAUGUGGACGUGCUCGGCAAGGUGCGCUACAGUGACCAUAGGAUGGUAAUAUCUCGAAUUAGCCUAGACUAAAGGAGGGAAUGGAAAAAACUGGUACAUAAGAAGCCGAUCAAUGAGUUAGCGGUAAGAGGGAAAGUAGAGGAAUUUCGGAUCAGGCUGCGGAAGAGGUAUUGGGCUUUAACUCAGGAAGAGACCCUCAGUGUUGAAGCAAUGAACGAAAAUCUUAUGGGCAUCAUUAAGGAGUGUGCAAUAGAAGUCGGUUGUAACUUCGUUAGACAGGAUACCGGUAAGUUAUCGCAGGAGAUGAAAGACCUAAUUAAGAAACCAACCCUUAUACAUAGCUUUCAUUGAUUACGAGAAAGCGUUUGAUUGAGUAAAAACCUCAGCAGUCAUUAUGGAAUCGGGGUGUAGACGAGCCUUAUGUGAAAAUACUGCAAGAUAUCUACAGCGGCUCCACAGCCACCGUAGUCCUCCAUAAAGAAAGCAACAAAAUCCCAAUAAAGAAGGGCGUCAGGCAGGGAGAUACGAACUCUCCUAUGCUAUUGACGGCGUGUCUACAGGAGGUAUUCAGAGACCUGGAUUGGGAAGAAUUGGGGAUAAGAGUUAAUGGAGAAUACCUUAGUAACUUGCGAUUCGCUGAUGAUAUUGCCUUGCUUAGUAACUCAGAGGACCAAUUGCAAUGCAUGCUCACUGACCUGGAGAGGCAAAGCAGAAUGGUGGGUCUAAAAAUUAGUCUGCAGAAAACUAAAAUAAUGUUUAACAGUCUCGGAAGAGAACAGCAGUUUACGAUAGGUAGUGAGGCACUGGAAGUGGUAAGGGGAAUACAUCUACUUAGGGCAGGUAGUGACUGCGGAUCCGGAUCAUGAGACUGAAAUAAUUUGAAGAAUAAGAAUGGGCUGGGGUGCGUUUGGCAGGCAUUCUCGGAUCAUGAACAGCAGGUUGCCAUUAUCCCUCAAGAGGAAAGUGUGAAACAGCUGUGUCUUACUAGUACUCACGUACAGGGCAGAAACCUGGAGGCUUACGAAACGGGUUCUACUUAAAUUGAAGACAGCGCAACGAGCUAUGGAAAGAAGAAGAAUGAUGGGUGUAACAUUAAGGGGAUAAGAUGAGAACAGAUUGGGUGAGGGAACAAACGCGAGUUAAUGAUAUCUUAGUUGAAAUCAAGAAAAAUGGGCAGGGCACGUAAUGAGGAGGGAAGAUAAUCGAUGGUCAUUAAGGUUUAUGGACUGGAUUCCAAGAGAGGGGAAGCGUAGCAGGGGGCGGCAGCAAGUUAGGUGGGCGGAUGAGAUUAAUAAGUUUGCAGGGACAACAUGGCCACAAUUAGGACAUGACCGGGGUAGUUGCUGUUUACGCAAGCAUUUUGCAAAUGCGGCUCGCUUUUAAGCACCCCUCCUUAUGUCUAAAAAAACAGAAAUAAACAUUCAGUAUACUUUUUCAACUUUUACUAAGCUUAUCAUAUAGCUCAGUGUUAACAUACAGUAAUCACAGGUGAGGUUACAAAAAGCAGUAAUAAUUGACAGUAAACACUGCUUGGAUGGUGAAAAACAUGGGAAUCAGGUCAUUUUAUUUUUGACAACAACCUUUUUUGGCAUAGGAGGCUCAGGAAAUGGUGAUGUAGCAACACUGUAAAGACUGAAUAAGAUAGAUGUGGAAUGCCUUGAUGACUUCUCUUUCUGUUUUCUUUAUUUUGUCUUCGAAAGGAAUUUAUUCUGUUCAAGAUAAGGGAGGCAGCUUUUGCAUCUGCAACAGAACAUCGGUGGAUGUUGUGUGAAGCACUUUUUCUUUGCUUUUUCACUACCUGAGCAAGGUAACUUUCUUUGUGCUUCAUCGCGCGAUUUCUACAGUCAACUUCCAUUAAUUCUACCCUGACGAGACUGACGGGUCGAAUUAAGAUGCAAAAACCUGCUGAAACACCGUUGAUUCAUUUGGCAGUAUGUGCUUGCGCAAUUUGCCUCUGAAACGAACAUGCAUCAACUUUCUAUUUGUCCAAAGUAUAAAACUAAAGUAGAAAUGACAACUCCAAACCAAAGUGGAAACCUACGCAUACCUGAUUUUUUAGUAUGCCAGCCAACUUUCUAAAGUCAGCUUCGCUGUAUUACAGCCAUGAUAAGCGGUAAAGCAUAUACUGAAAAGAUUUCGCGCCAAAGAACAACACACACAAGAAAGACGACGACACCAUGGGCGCCUGUGGUGUCGUCUUUCAUGUGUGUGUUGAUUUUUGGCGCAAAAUCAUUUCAGUAUGCAAGAGCACCAACUAGCCCAGCAGUUAACUCUUCUAACGUGAAGCAUAUGAAUGCUACAAACAUGGUUUUAGUUUCGCACUUGAUUGUACAGCUAGGCAAUUUUCGGCUCAAUGUCCUUGGAAAACAAAAACUGUUCGUUAGAAUCAGAUACGUACUACAAUCAGACAUUGUCAGCUACCGUUACAGCUUAAAAAUCUUUCUCAGCUGGGUCAAAAAUAAGCAUUUCAGGCAGGAGAUAGCGUUUGUAUAACACAUUCACUGUCCCCUAAGCUCUGCUCAGGCAGACGUUGCCACUAAAAGGGGUCGUUAUUGGGGUCUGGUCAAGUUCGCAUUAUAUGGCGAAUGCCAGUUUUAGGAUCAAAAUACUGAAUGUUUAGGCCCAUAGAAAUGCAUGGGCACCGGCCAGGACCGAAUUAACUGAAAAAUGAAAUUAACGAGAGUCUGAUUAUUGGAAGUUUACUGUACACCCUUUUCUGUUCUACAAGGACUUGUCAUUUUAAUAUGUAGUUUUCUUCUAUCAGUGUGGCAAUGGUGGUAAAUUUAGCAUUUGAAAUCAUCCAUCGUUCCAAGGACAAGUUGCAAAGUAGGGGCACAUUUUGAGACUUGAAACAUUUGCACAUAUAAAGGCAGGACACAUUAACAGCUGUCCACUUAACAUAAGUUGGCUGUAUUAUCUGCAUAGUAUGUGGUUGCUUUUUUGGAAUGUGGUCAUUCUGUAAAAGAAAGUUUUAUUUGUUUCAAAUAAAUUGCUGAACUAUU